rnacentral:rRNA from 1 species
GAUGGAGGGGGAUAACUACUGGAAACGGUAGCUAAUACCGCAUAACCUCGNNNGAGCAAAGAGGGGGACCUUAGGGCCUCUCGCCAUCAGAUGUGCCCAGAUGGGAUUAGCUAGUAGGUGAGGUAAUGGCUCACCUAGGCGACGAUCCCUAGCUGGUCUGAGAGGAUGACCAGCCACACUGGAACUGAGACACGGUCCAGACUCCUACGGGAGGCAGCAGUGGGGAAUAUUGCACAAUGGGAGCAAGCCUGAUGCAGCCAUGCCGCGUGUGUGAAGAAGGCCUCCGGGUUGUAAAGCACUUUCAGCGAGGAGGAAGGCGGUNAGGUUAAUAACCUUAUCGAUUGACGUUACUCGCAGAAGAAGCACCGGCUAACUCCGUGCCAGCAGCCGCGGUAUUACGGAGGGGGCAAGCGUUAAUCGGAAUGACUGGGCGUAAAGCGCACCCAGGCGGUCUGUUAAGUCGGAUGUGAAAUCCCCGGCCUUAACCUGGGAACUGCAUUCAAAACUGACAGGCUAGAGUCUUGUAGAGGGGGGUAGAAUUCCAGGUGUAGCGGUGAAAUGCGUAGAGAUCUGGAGGAAUACCGGUGGCGAAGGCGGCCCCCUGGACAAAAACUGACGCUCAGGUGCGAAAGCGUGGGGAGCAAACAGGAUUAGAUACCCUGGUAGUCCACGCUGUAAACGAUGUCGAUUUGGAGGUUGUGCCCUUGAGGCGUGGCUUCCGGAGCUAACGCGUUAAAUCGACCGCCUGGGGAGUACGGCCGCAAGGUUAAAACUCAAAUGAAUUGACGGGGGCCCGCACAAGCGGUGGAGCAUGUGGUUUAAUUCGAUGCAACGCGAAGAACCUUACCUACUCUUG